rnacentral:rRNA from 1 species
CAGGUGUUGCAUGGCUGUCGUCAGCUCGUGUCGUGAGAUGUUCGGUUAAGUCCGCUAACGAGCGCAACCCUCGUCGUAUGUUAUAUGUGUCAUACGAGACUGCCGGUAAAAAGCCGGAGGAAGGUGAGGAUGAUGUCAAGUCAGCAUGACCUUUAUAUCCAGGGCUACACACACGCUACAAUGGUCUGUACAAUGGGUAGCCAAGCCGCGAGGCGGAGCCAAUCCUGAAAGCAGGCCUCAGUUCAGAUUGCAGUCUGCAACUCGACUGCAUGAAGCCGGAGUUGCUAGUAACCGCAGGUCAGCAAUACUGCGGUGAAUACGUUCCCGGGUCUU